CCUACGGGAGGCAGCAGUGGGGAAUCUUGCGCAAUGGGCGAAAGCCUGACGCAGCAACGCCGCGUGCGGGAAGAAGGCUUUCGGGCUGUAAACCGCUUUCAGCAGGAACGAAAAUGACGGUACCUGCAGAAGAAGGAGCGGCCAACUAUGUGCCAGCAGCCGCGGUGAUACAUAGGCUUCAAGCGUUGUCCGGAUUUAUUGGGCGUAAAGAGUUCGUAGGCGGUCGAGUAAGUCGGGUGUGAAAAUUCUGGGCUCAACCCAGAAACGCCACCCGAUACUGCUUAACUUGAGUUCGAUAGGGGAGUGGGGAAUUCCUAGUGUAGCGGUGAAAUGCGCAGAUAUUAGGAGGAACACCGGUGGCGAAGGCGCCACUCUGGAUCGAUACUGACGCUGAGGAACGAAAGCAUGGGUAGCAAACAGGAUUAGAUACCCUGGUAGUCCAUGCCGUAAACGGUGGGCACUAGGUGUGGGAUUCUAUUAACGAAUUCCGCGCCGUCGCUAACGCAUUAAGUGCCCCGCCUGGGGAGUACGGUCGCAAGACUAAAACUCAAAUGAAUUGACGG
rnacentral:rRNA from 1 species